GUUCUAAGCACACGAAUUCCAAGUACUCAUUUGAGCCAAAACAUUUCAUGGUCCACAUGCAAGCACUGAUAUGCAAUCGAGUAUGCAAUGCAAGAAAUAGUUCGAAAAGUAACUUUGCAAAUAGUUGAGGAAUCACUCACCAACCACGGCUCAUGAACCUCAUCCAUCAUAUAUCAUUGCCUUGCUCAAGUCCAAAUCCUAGAUCACAAAUAUCAUGUCAAACAAAAGGAAUUCUAAAAGCAUCAAGUUCCUAUCACCUUUUGGUAUAUUAAUCACAAUUGAAGCUACACUUAUCCGAUUGAAACGAAUCUUAUGGGGUUACGAAGCUAAGACCUAUACCAACAUUUCUUAUGAAGACCUCUAAAGCCAACUCAUACAUUUUCAUGGUCAAAAACCGAAAUCUUAGAGAAAAAUGGAAACUAGCCGUGAAACAGGGCUUAAGGGCAGUCAAGGGUAUUUUGGUCAUUUCACAUGCUAAAGUACUCCAAACAAUCUGAAAUUUUGCAGGUAGUUAGCUAACUUAUAUAUCUACAACUUUCAUGUUUUGAGUAAGGGCCGAUUCAGUCUCUCUCAAGGUCAAACAUACAGUGCAAAAACAGGACAGAUUACUACCAUAAUUGGAAACCCUAAUCUGGAAUUUAUGCACACAAACCAGAAAUUUUCUUUAGGCAAGUUAAACUAGUCUAUAAAACUUCAAUAUAUCUCAUACUAAAGCUAUCAAACCAUGGCCAAUCAUUACUCAUCAUAUAAAGGCAGAAAAAUCCCCAAUAAAACCGAAAAUUCCAUGAUACUACCUCAAACCAUAAACUUAUCCACAAAACAACCUAUUUAACCUCUCCAAUCCAUUAAUACACAAUUUAUUGAAGUAAAGAGGAAGUUCUUGACAAGAUACCUUCAAACCCCAAGAAAAUUGGUAGCUUAGAGCUUGCUCUAUCAAAAUAACUCCACCAACCUCCUUAAUCCUUCCUAGCUAGCACUUUGUACGGAGUACUUCGCGAUUUAAUCGAUUGGAACUCAAGAUAGAAGCAAGGAAUUGAAGUGCAAGAUGAAGUAUUUCCUCUCCUUUCUCUCCCUCAAGUUGUUCGGUCCAGCCC
rnacentral:lncRNA from 1 species